rnacentral:rRNA from 1 species
UAAUACGAGGGGAGCUAGCGUUGUUCGGAAUUACUGGGCGUAAAGGGCGUGUAGGCGGUACCAUAAGUCAGAUGUGAAAGCCCUAGGCUUAACCUAGGAGGUGCAUUUGAUACUGUGGAACUAGAGAUCGAGAGAGGAAAGUGGAAUUACGAGUGUAGAGGUGAAAUUCGUAGAUAUUCGUAAGAACACCAGUGGCGAAGGCGACUUUCUGGCUCGAUACUGACGCUAAGGCGCGAAAGCGUGGGGAGCAAACAGGAUUAGAUACCCUGGUAGUCCACGCUGUAAACGAUGAGUGCUAGAUGUUGGUGAAGGAAUUCAUCAGUGUCGCAGCUAACGCAUUAAGCACUCCGCCUGGGGAGUACGGUCGCAAGAUUA